rnacentral:tRNA from 1 species
GCUCAGCUGGUUAAGCAUCAGACUCUUGAUUUCAGCUCAAGUCAUGAUCUCGUGGUUUGUGAGUUCGAAUCCCAUGUUGGGCU